GUAUUAACCGCCGCCUGCUGGUAUCUCUAGCAGGCGCCACCUCAACACGGAUAUUAUUAAAAGCAACCGGGUUAUUGUUAUUUAUCCACCUCCGUCCGUCGCCGCAGUCCUCUCUUCAUACCCAGGAUCCUGCUAAAAAUGGUUCAGAUUUCAUGGAGGGCGCUAUCAUUGUCGAAAUGGGCAAGGCAACUUCGUAGUGCUCUACCCGCUCUACCCUAUAUCAAGGGUAUGCAAAAUGUGCUCAAUCCGCGCCAUGUUGGGGAACAGUGCUGCUCGAUUUCACGGCACAUGAGUCUGCCCCAUACAAAAUUAAUGUUGCCAGCAACAUAAAACGUAAGAAAACGUAAACGACUAUGGAAUGUAAAAGACAUUGUUGAGUCCUGAAAAGGACAUUGUCGCGGUCAUAUUUGAUAAAAAGGAACAUGAAUAAAAAGCAAACAUCUCAU